rnacentral:rRNA from 1 species
ACGGAAGGCAGCAGUCGGGAAUAUUGCGCAAUGGAGGAAACUCUGACGCAGUGACGCCGCGUAUAGGAAGAAGGUUUUCGGAUUGUAAACUAUUGUCGUUAGGGAAGAACAAAGACAGUACCUAAGGAGGAAGCCCCGGCUAACUAUGUGCCAGCAGCCGCGGUAAUACAUAGGGGGCAAGCGUUAUCCGGAAUUAUUGGGUGUAAAGGGUGCGUAGACGGGAGAGCAAGUUAGUUGUGAAAUCCCUCGGCUUAACUGAGGAACUGCAACUAAAACUGUACUUCUUGAGUAUCGGAGGGGAAAGCGGAAUUCCUAGUGUAGCGGUGAAAUGCGUAGAUAUUAGGAGGAACACCAGUGGCGAAGGCGGCUUUCUGGACUGUAACUGACACUGAGGCACGAAAGCGUGGGGAGCAAACAGGGUUAGAUACCCUGGUA